AGAGCAAGGUCCCGCCCUCCUUCGCCUCUGAUUGGCUAGAAAUUUGGGGCUCCCACGAUUCCUGCUGUCCGUAAUCCGGGACGAAAUUCGCCUCACCAACGGACCCGGUAGGAAUUAGCGUACGCCGGAAAUCAGAGCCGUUCCGGAUGCGGUUGAAAUCCCGGGUAAACUUCCAAUUUUCUACCUUGUUUUUGUUAAGCUAACUGAUUGGAAACCUAGCAUACAAGGCUAACAACAAGAUUGUGGUAUGAAUGCUAUAAUUUACCUAAAUCUAUUUUGAAAACGUUAUUGAGUUUUUUUCAAAAGAAUCAAGAAGCUGAAUUUAGUUAUCAACUAGAAAAAUUGUAUUUCCUUGCAAAAAAUGCAUGGAAGUGCUGAGUGCUGAAAGCUGAAAAGGCAAUGCAAAAUUGCUAAAAAAAAUUAAAAAAAAUGUCGGAAGGUAUGAAUGUAAAAACUGUUGAAGGGGUGACGAGAAAGAAACACAAGUUGGAUGAAUGCAAAAAGUGAUUAAGUACAAGUAGUGUGAAUGUGCUACAUACAUUGAAAUUCCAUUCAUGCGGAAAGAGGCUUAAAAAAUGUCUGAAAUUGCACAUAAUUUGUAUGAAGAAGAAAAUUACCUUAAAACACAGAAAAGUGAGGAGUGGCAUAAGUUCAAGUUGCAGUACUAGUUGUAGUAUGAUAGUAAGUAGUCGUAGUAGUGAUAUUAGUAGUGAUAGUUUUAGAAUAGAAGAAGUAGAAGUCAAAGUAGUAGAGCUGGUGGUAGAAGUAACAGUAGCAGUAAAGAAAGUAUUUGUAGUAGCAAUAGUAGUUGAGGUAGAAGUGAAGGCACUAGACAAUAACAGCUCCAAAAUAAAAAAUGUAUUGUAUAUGAUGCAUUUACAAGAAACACUAGUUAUAUCUCAACAAACCACUUUAAACUGUGCUUAUUUUUGGUCGAGUUAGCACUUUCAAUCAUUACUGUUAAAAGCAUUCUUGAAAUAGAGAAACCACCCAGAAGCUAGAGUAUUAAAUAAAAAUCUGUCAUACUGUCUUUAUUAAACUGCCUGUUCAGAUGUAAAAUAUGUAAUUGUGGAAUAUGGUAAAAAAGAGAGAGAGGCCCUUGAGUGGGAUUAUUUUUGAUCAGAACAAUAAGAUCCAGGAAAGAAGCCAUGCAAGAAGUGGAAAAUUUUAUUG